AACGGCCAUACCAUGCUGAAUAUACCGGUUCUCGGUAGAUCACCGAAGUCAAGCAUCAUUGGGCGCGGUCAGUACUGGGUGGGUACCUGGGAACACCGCGUGCCGUU